rnacentral:rRNA from 1 species
CCUACGGGUGGCAGCAGUAGGGAAUAUUGCUCAAUGGGGGAAACCCUGAAGCAGCAACGCCGCGUGGAGGAAGAAGGUUUUCGGGUUGUAAACCCCUUUUGUUAGGGAAGAAAAUGACGGUAUCUAACGAAUAAGCACCGGCUAACUCCGUGCCCGCAGCCGCGGUAAUACGGAGGGUGCAAGCGUUACUCGGAAUAACUGGGCGUAAAGAGCGCGUAGGCGGGAUCGCAAGUCAGAUGUGAAAUCCUAUGGCUUAACCAUAGAACUGCAUUUGAAACUGUUAUUCUAGAGUACGGGAGAGGUAGGUGGAAUUCGUGGUGUAGGGGUGAAAUCCGUAGAGAUCAAGAGGAAUACUCAUUGCGAAGGCGGCCUGCUAGAACAUAACUGACGCUGAGGCGCGAAAGCGUGGGGAGCAAACAGGAUUAGAUACCCGGGUAGUC